rnacentral:rRNA from 1 species
UACGUAGGGUGCAAGCGUUAAUCGGAAUUACUGGGCGUAAAGCGUGCGCAGGCGGUUGUGCAAGACCGAUGUGAAAUCCCCGGGCUCAACCUGGGAACUGCAUUUGUGACUGCAUCGCUGGAGUGCGGCAGAGGGGGAUGGAAUUCCGCGUGUAGCAGUGAAAUGCGUAGAUAUGCGGAGGAACACCGAUGGCGAAGGCAAUCCCCUGGGCCUGCACUGACGCUCAUGCACGAAAGCGUGGGGAGCAAACAGG